UUCGGGCGAAGAUAAGACGGAUUAGCGGCGGACGGGUGAGUAACACGUGAGUAACCUGCCUUUUACACAGGGAUAGCCUCGGGAAACCGGGAUUAAAACCUGAUGAAACUAUCAAAUCACAUGAUUAAGAAAGUUAAAACUCCGGUGGUAAAAGAUGGACUCGCGUCCCAUUAGCUAGUUGGUGAAGGUAACGGCCCACCAAGGCAACGAUGGGUAGCCGGCCUGAGAGGGUGAACGGCCACAUUGGAACUGAGAAACGGUCCAAACUCCACGGGAGGCAGCAGCC
rnacentral:rRNA from 1 species